rnacentral:misc_RNA from 1 species
CAUACUGCUGCAAUGGCGAAUGAUGUUGAGUUGGUCAAAAUUAUUCUCGAAGCUGGAGUGGAUGUAAACAUUCGGAACAUGCAUAAUACAAUUCCUCUUCAUGUAGCCUUAGCCAGAGGGGCAAAAUCAUGUGUUGGAUUGCUUUUAUCUGCUGGGGCAAGUUGUAAUCUGCAGGAUGAUGAAGGUGAUAAUGCAUUCCACAUAGCGGCAGAUAGAGCAAAAAUGAUACGUGAAAAUAUUGAAUGGCUCAUCAUUAUGCUUAGAAAUCCCGAUGCUGCUGUAGAUGUUAGAAACCACAG